rnacentral:lncRNA from 1 species
GAGGUUCGGCAGAUGUCGGAGGCGAUCGAUCGUUGUAAGAAUCCAGCUGUCGGAGUCCAUUCAUCGUAGAAGCUUGUCCGAUAUCCAUCCAUUAUGGAAGUUCGGUCGAGGUCUGGUUCUUGCAGAAGGCUGAAAGGAGAUCGCUUAAUGUAGAAGCUCGAUCAUGGAUCGAUUGUCGUGGGAGCUCGGAGUAGUGAUCUGGCCGGUAGGUCCUGUCCCGC